GGAUUGUGGCCCAGUGGUAGAGUGCUCGCCUAGCACGUGGGAGGCCCUGGGUUCAAUCCUCAGCACCA
rnacentral:tRNA from 1 species